CAGCAGCCACGGGAAUACGAAGGGUGCAAGCGUUAAUCGGAAUUACUGGGCGUAAAGCGCGCGUAGGUGGUUUGGUAAGAUGGAUGUGAAAUCCCCGGGCUCAACCUGGGAACUGCAUCCAUAACUGCCUGACUAGAGUACGGUAGAGGGUGGUGGAAUUUCCUGUGUAGCGGUGAAAUGCGUAGAUAUAGGAAGGAACACCAGUGGCGAAGGCGACCACCUGGACUGAUACUGACACUGAGGUGCGAAAGCGUGGGGAGCAAACAGGAUUAGAUACCCCAGUAGUCCCUGUCUCUUAUAC
rnacentral:rRNA from 1 species